GACGAACGCUGGCGGCGUGCUUAACACAUGCAAGUCGAACGGAAAGGCCCUGCUUUUGUGGGGUGCUCGAGUGGCGAAAGGGUGAGUAACACGUGCGUAACCUGCCCUUGACUUUGGGAUAACUUCAGGAAACUGGGGCUAAUACCGAAUAGGAACUCCUGCUGAAUGGUGGGGGUUGGAAAGUUUCGGCGGUUGGGGAUGGACUAGCGGCUUAUCAGCUUGUUGGUGGAGUAGUGGCUUACCCAGGAUGUGACGGGUAGCCGGCCUGAGAGGGUGAACGGGCACAAUGGUACUGAGAGACGGCCCAGUCUGCUACUGGAGGCAGCAGUGGCGAAUAUGACACAGUGAGCGGAAGCCUGAGACAGCAACUUCGCGUUCGUAAUGACGUCUUGCGAGUUGUAAACCGCUUUCGCCUGUGACGAAGCGUGAGUGACGGUAAUGGGUAAAGAAGCACCGGCUAACUACGUG
rnacentral:rRNA from 1 species